GCCUCCUAGAAACAGCCUAAGUUACAGCACACAACAAAAGCCCACAUUUCACCUGCGUGCCUUACUGCUGGGACACCUGUAGCCACGACACCCAUCGCUUAACGCGUUUUUUUUUUUUGGAGGAAGAACGCAUGAUGCGCAAUUACGCACGGGACUAAAGGAAUUCGACGAGCAGCCUGUCUUUUUUGUCACUCCUCCAGGGGAUACGCUGUCCAUAGUUUUGGAGUCCUCUCCAUUUAUAGAGACGAUAUCUAUGCACGACGUCAUCAGCGCAGUUACAGCCUCUCCUCACCUGUCAACUCUGAAGUUCACCGCACAGUCCUCUAUGUGCACAGGACAGGAUGGGAUGCUCCACAAGUUCCCAAACUUCCGCGGUAGAAAGCAAUCCACCCGUCCAUAAACAAGACGAGAGCAACGGAGCCAGCACAACAGGAGCAGCCAAUGAGAAUGGGAAAGUAGCCGAGGACAGCGAAACCAUUCCGGACCAGACACCUGCUCAGGGCGGCGAUGCUAAACCAGCAGACGAACCCGCUGCAGCUGCAACGUCUGCAGACAACACCGCUGCAGCUCCACCUGCAGCUGAGGAUGCUCCGCCUGCUGCAGACAGUCCGCCUGCAGAGGCAGCAGCACCUGUGGAGGCUUCGGCAGCAGCACCUGCAGAGGCUUCGGCGGCAGCUGAAAGCAGCGCAGAGCCUGCAGCUGAAGCUCCUGAGCAAGGUAGGGUGGAGACAUGAGGAGGACUGUGACAGGCCGGGGACAACAGUGAUUUUAUUCAGUACUUUUUACUCCACUACAUUUAUUUUUAAAACAUUAGUUAGAAGUUUAUUUGCAGUUACUUCUUUAAAUCAGCAAAUAAAAUAUGAUAUAUUAUUAUAGGUUAAGCUACACAGCGGUAUAUACAAUGACACGAAUAAGCUCCAACUUUACCAGCUGCAACUUUGAAAUUAUUCAAUGUAAUUCAGUGAUAUACAAGAUCCUCUCAUAAGCAGUACUUUUAUUUUGGGACUUAAAGUAGUUGUUGAC
rnacentral:lncRNA from 1 species